UACAGAGGGUGCGAGCGUUAAUCGGAAUUACUGGGCGUAAAGCGCGCGUAGGCGGCUUGCAAGUCAGAGGUGAAAGCCCGGGGCUCAACCCCGGAAUUGCCUUUGAGACUGCAUCGCUAGAACGUCGGAGAGGUAAGUGGAAUUCCGAGUGGUAGAGGUGAAAUUCGUAGAUAUUACGGAAGAACACCAGUGGCGAAGGCGACUUACUGGACGACUGUUGACGCUGAGGUGCGAAAGCGUGGGGAGCAAACAGGG
rnacentral:rRNA from 1 species